rnacentral:rRNA from 1 species
UGGGGAAUAUUGCACAAUGGGCGCAAGCCUGAUGCAGCCAUGCCGCGUGUAUGAAGAAGGCCUUCGGGUUGUAAAGUACUUUCAGCGGGGAGGAAGGGAGUAAAGUUAAUACCUUUGCUCAUUGACGUUACCCGCAGAAGAAGCACCGGCUAACUCCGUGCCAGCAGCCGCGGUAAUACGGAGGGUGCAAGCGUUAAUCGGAAUUACUGGGCGUAAAGCGCACGCAGGCGGUUUGUUAAGUCAGAUGUGAAAUCCCCGGGCUCAACCUGGGAACUGCAUCUGAUACUGGCAAGCUUGAGUCUCGUAGAGGGGGGUAGAAUUCCAGGUGUAGCGGUGAAAUGCGUAGAGAGCUGGAGGAAUACCGGUGGCGAAGGCGGCCCCCUGGACAAAGACUGACGCUCAGGUGCGAAAGCGUGGGGAGCAAACAGG